ensembl:lncRNA
GUUGUAAAUGUUUUCUCCGUUGAGAAAGGUGUUGGGGGUUGUCAUAACCUACCACAUACUGCAUUAUAUUUAUCUUUUCAGGAUAGCAGACGUAACCUUGAAGAGCUCCAUGUGUCUGAUUCCAAGAAUAAUACAUGACAUUCCUCACACUGAAAGAUGGGACACAGCAGUGCUUCACGUUCCUGUCUUCACUGUUCCAUCACACCUGAUUCAGCUCAUGAUGCGCUCGAUAAUUACCGAAGUUUUGUCGUAUGUGUCAACGGGUAAAAUGAUUGACUCUGUAGCUUUCCCGGAAUAGAAACAGAAUCGCUUCUUGUGAAGAACCAAAAGCGGCCGAUCAUCAAGAUCAACAUACCGGCAUCCAGAGUAUCUUGUCCUUGUUUAGCCCUCUACAGAGAGAGCACGGGGGGAAGCGGGAGUGUGUGAGUGGUGGUCCUGACGCUGAAGGUUGCUAAUCCCUUCAAACAUGGCUCCACGGGCCAACCAUGACCGAGCAAGCAAGACCGUAAUUACACCAAGCAAUGUCAUUAAGUAGUACACAGUGAACAGCAGCCACGCCACAAAUUACAGUCACCAACCUUUCAACAUGCAGACAUGCUCAGAGGACUGGCUAGUCUUGUCAUGAUGUGUUUUUAUAUGCAUUUUAGUUGGAUUAAAAUGUGUCUUUGAGGAAGAGGAACAUCUGGUGACACUCAUCAUAAAUCCAGUUUUAUUAUCGUAUCGUUUCUAUACUAAC